rnacentral:lncRNA from 1 species
CUGCAAGAUAUUACGAAUCUUUAAUAUUAUAAAUGCAUUCAAUCAAAUAGUGUUUCACAAAUUUAACUAAGAUGGGAGCAACAUUGUUCAUCCCAUUGUAAAACCUCUGUGGCUCCAGCAACAAUUGUGUGCCAUUACAACAAUGUACAUUCUAGAAUACUAUCAUUUGGGAUGGGAAAAAACAGGUUCUGCAAGCUACUCAAUGUCAUACGAAUGCCCUGCUUUCUAAAGAAGCACAUGGUUUACGGGGAUGGGAGAAGAGAGAUUCUGGAAAGGGUUAAAUCCCUGUGCCUGCGGACACUGCCUGCACCCGCAGACCACCUCCAUCUGAACUGGAAGAAUUCGGAUAUAGUUGUUGACCGAGAGAAGAGUCCAAAACUGAGGAGUGGAAAAUAACGAAGAAUGAAGAAAGGAAACAGGAAGAGGUUGACCUGAUUGAUGGAAAGGAGCUCCUCUUUCUCCAAAACCAGAAGGAAAAGGAAGGUUUAGAGAGCAGAGGAGGGUAAGUUUCCCCCGGAUAAUAUGGGUUCAGUUGCAUAAUACGGCCAGGAUGUUAUCUGCAAAGAAGCUGUGGGGAG